rnacentral:rRNA from 1 species
UACGGAGGAUCCGAGCGUUAUCCGGAUUCAUUGGGUUUAAAGGGUGCGUAGGUUGUUUUAUAAGUUAGCGGUGAAAUACCGAUGCUCAACAUCGGGGCUGCCGCUGAUACUGUAGGACUAGAGAUCGGAUGCAGCAGGCGGAAUGUGUAGUGUAGCGGUGAAAUGCAUAGAUAUUACACAGAACACCGAUUGCGAAGGCAGCUUACCAAGCUACUUCUGACGUUGAGGCACGAAAGCGUGGGGAGCAAACAGG